CCUACGGGAGGCUGCAGUGAGGAAUAUUGGUCAAUGGGCGUAAGCCUGAACCAGCCAAGUCGCGUGAGGGAUGAAGGUUCUAUGGAUCGUAAACCUCUUUUAUAAGGGAAUAAAGUGUGGGACGUGUCCUAUUUUGUAUGUACCUUAUGAAUAAGGAUCGGCUAACUCCGUGCCAGCAGCCGCGGUAAUACGGAGGAUCCGAGCGUUAUCCGGAUUUAUUGGGUUUAAAGGGUGCGUAGGCGGAAUAUCAAGUCAGCGGUAAAAAUUCGGGGCUCAACCCCGGCCUGCCGUCGGAACUGGGUGCCUUGAGUGGGCGAGAAGUAUGCGGAAUGCGUGGUGUAGCGGUGAAAUGCAUAGAUAUCACGCAGAACCCCGAUUGCGAAGGCAGCAUACCGGCGCCCUACUGACGCUGAGGCACGAAAGUGCGGGUAUCGAACAGGAUUAGAUACCCUAGUAGUC
rnacentral:rRNA from 1 species